rnacentral:rRNA from 1 species
UAUGGAGGAUGCAAGCGUUAUCCGGAUUUAUUGGGUUUAAAGGGUGCGCAGGUUGUUUGAUAAGUCAGUGGUGAAAGUCUGUCGCUUAACGGUAGGAUUGCCAUUGAUACUGUUGGACUUGAAUAUGGAUGAGGUAGGCGGAAUGUGUAGUGUAGCGGUGAAAUGCAUAGAUAUUACACAGAACACCGAUUGCGAAGGCAGCUUACUAAUCCAUCAUUGACGCUGAGGCACGAAAGCGUGGGGAUCAAA